AGUGAACGCUGGCGGUAGGCCUAACACAUGCAAGUCGAACGGCAGCACAGUAAGAGCUUGCUCUUACGGGUGGCGAGUGGCGGACGGGUGAGGAAUACAUCGGAAUCUACUUUUUCUUGGGGGAUAACGUAGGGAAACUGACGCUAAUACCUCAUACGACCUACGGGUGAAAGCAGGGGAUCUUCGGACCUUGCGCGAUUGAUUGAGCCGAUGUCGGAUUAGCUAGUUGGCGGGGUAAAGGCCCACCAAGGCGACGAUCCGUAGCUGGGCUGAGAGGAUGAUCAGCCACACUGGAACUGAGACACGGUCCAGACUCCUACGGGAGGCAGCAGUGGGGAAUAUUGGACAAUGGGCGCAAGCCUGAUCCAGCCACACCGCGUGGGUGAAGAAGGCCUUCGGGUUGUAAAGCCCUUUUGUUGGGAAAGAAAAGAAGCAGGUUAAUACCCCGCUGUUCUGACGGUACCCAAAGAAUAAGCACCGGCUAACUUCGUG
rnacentral:rRNA from 1 species